UAAUUUGAGUGGUAUCAGAAUUCAUAUGAAGCGAACCUUGAUGAUUGCCGCCACCAAGUCCCGUUCGAAAUCUUUUUGUUGGAAUCCUUAUGAAGCAAGCCUUAAUGGUUGUAGCCACCAAGUCCUGGUCGGAUUCCACCUAACCAACUCCUAUUAUAUAUAUAUUUAUAUAUUUUUUAUUUAUAUAUAUAUGUAUAAUUUUUUUUUCUUUUUUCUUUCUUUUCUUUUUCGUUUUUUUUAAUAUAAAUGUCUCUACCUAUAAAUCUAGGAUCGAAAUAGAGAGAGAAAAUGUGAUAAAUCUACACAAGGCUUUACUUUCCAGACUUGUUUGAAGAAUCUGAUCCCAU
rnacentral:lncRNA from 1 species